UGGAGCAGAGAGAAUAUGCUUGGAAAUCUGUUCAGAGAAGGUGGUGUGACGCCUGCACUGAAGAUGCUGGUGCUACUGUUGCUGCUGGGGCCAACAGGUUCUGCACUUGGGGUUCUUGUCCUCCAACACCCAAGCAGGGUCAUCUGUCACAGUGGAUCCUCUGUGAAGAUUGAAUGUCGCUUUGUGGACUUGCAGGCCCUAACAGUGAUUUGGUACCGUCAGUUUCCGAAACAGGGUUUCACGCGGAUAGCACUUUCUACUGAGGGCUCUGGUGUUGCCUAUGAACAGGAUGUUACUGAGGCCAAGUUUCCCAUCAGCCCCCCAAACCAAACAUAUUCAAGCCUGACGGUGACCACCACCAAUCCCAAAGACAGCAGCUUCUACUUCUGUGCUGCAAGUGACACAGCGCUUGGUGGAAAUCAGAGAUCUGGGCAAGAACUUUUGUAG